AUUGAACGCUAGCGGGAUGCCUUACACAUGCAAGUCGAACGAGUGGCGGACGGGUGAGUAAUAUAUGGGAACGUGCCCAGUAGCGGGGGAUAACUACUCGAAACAGUGGCUAAUACCGCAUACCAUUCGAGCGGCCGAAAUGGGAGUAGCCAGUGGGUGGGGUAAAGGCCCCCCAAGGCCACGAUCCGUAGCUGGUUUGAGAGGACGACCAGCCACACUGGGACUGAGACACGGCCCAGACUCCUACGGGAGGCAGCAGUGGGGAAUAUUGGACAAUGGGGGAAAGCCUGAUCCAGCCAUCCCGCGUGUAUGAGAAGGCCUUCGGGUUGUAAAGUACUUUUGGCGGAGAAGCGGUACCUGCAGAAGAAGCACCGGCUAACUACGUGCCAGCAGCCGCGGUAAUAC
rnacentral:rRNA from 1 species